AUGCAGAGCAAACACACACAGAUUCAGCACAAUCACAGAGACAAACACGUGCAGACACAAAAACUCAAAAAUUCAGCACUCGCAGAGAGACAAACACACAGAUUCAUCACAUGUGCAGAGAGACAAACACAGAUUCAGCACACUCGCAGAGACAAACACACUCAGAUUCAGCACACGCGCAGAGAGACAAACACAGAUUCAUCACACGUGCAACACACUCAGAUUCAGCCCACUCGCAGAGACACAAACACACUCAGAUUCAGCCCACUCGCAGAGACACAAACACACUCAGAUUCAGCCCACUCGCAGAGACACAAACACACUCAGAUUCAGCCCACUCGCAGAGACACAAACACACUCAGAUUCAGCCCACUCGCAGAGACACAAACACACUCAGAUUCAGCCCACUCGCAGAGACACAAACACACUCAGAUUCAGCCCACUCGCAGAGACACAAACACACUCAGAUUCAGCCCACUCGCAGAGACACAAACACACUCAGAUUCAGCCCACUCGCAGAGACACAAACACACUCAGAUUCAGCCCACUCGCAGAGACACAAACACACUCAGAUUCAGCCCACUCGCAGAGACACAAACACACUCAGAUUCAGCCCACUCGCAGAGACACAAACACACUCAGAUUCAGCCCACUCGCAGAGACACAAACACACUCAGAUUCAGCCCACUCGCAGAGACACAAACACACUCAGAUUCAGCCCACUCGCAGAGACACAAACACACUCAGAUUCAGCCCACUCGCAGAGACACAAACACACUCAGAUUCAGCCCACUCGCAGAGACACAAACACACUCAGAUUCAGCCCACUCGCAGAGACACAAACACACUCAGAUUCAGCCCACUCGCAGAGACACAAACACACUCAGAUUCAGCCCACUCGCAGAGACACAAACACACUCAGAUUCAGCCCACUCGCAGAGACACAAACACACUCAGAUUCAGCCCACUCGCAGAGACACAAACACACUCAGAUUCAGCCCACUCGCAGAGACACAAACACACUCAGAUUCAGCCCACUCGCAGAGACACAAACACACUCAGAUUCAGCCCACUCGCAGAGACACAAACACACUCAGAUUCAGCCCACUCGCAGAGACACAAACACACUCAGAUUCAGCCCACUCGCAGAGACACAAACACACUCAGAUUCAGCCCACUCGCAGAGACACAAACACACUCAGAUUCAGCCCACUCGCAGAGACACAAACACACUCAGAUUCAGCCCACUCGCAGAGACACAAACACACUCAGAUUCAGCCCACUCGCAGAGACACAAACACACUCAGAUUCAGCCCACUCGCAGAGACACAAACACACUCAGAUUCAGCCCACUCGCAGAGACACAAACACACUCAGAUUCAGCCCACUCGCAGAGACACAAACACACUCAGAUUCAGCCCACUCGCAGAGACACAAACACACUCAGAUUCAGCCCACUCGCAGAGACACAAACACACUCAGAUUCAGCCCACUCGCAGAGACACAAACACACUCAGAUUCAGCCCACUCGCAGAGACACAAACACACUCAGAUUCAGCCCACUCGCAGAGACACAAACACACUCAGAUUCAGCCCACUCGCAGAGACACAAACACACUCAGAUUCAGCCCACUCGCAGAGACACAAACACACUCAGAUUCAGCCCACUCGCAGAGACACAAACACACUCAGAUUCAGCCCACUCGCAGAGACACAAACACACUCAGAUUCAGCCCACUCGCAGAGACACAAACACACUCAGAUUCAGCCCACUCGCAGAGACACAAACACACUCAGAUUCAGCCCACUCGCAGAGACACAAACACACUCAGAUUCAGCCCACUCGCAGAGACACAAACACACUCAGAUUCAGCCCACUCGCAGAGACACAAACACACUCAGAUUCAGCCCACUCGCAGAGACACAAACACACUCAGAUUCAGCCCACUCGCAGAGACACAAACACACUCAGAUUCAGCCCACUCGCAGAGACACAAACACACUCAGAUUCAGCCCACUCGCAGAGACACAAACACACUCAGAUUCAGCCCACUCGCAGAGACACAAACACACUCAGAUUCAGCCCACUCGCAGAGACACAAACACACUCAGAUUCAGCCCACUCGCAGAGACACAAACACACUCAGAUUCAGCACACUCGCAGAGAGACAAACACACUCAGAUUCAGCACACGCGCAGAGACAACACAGAUUCAUCACACUCGCAGAGAGACAACACAGAUUCAUCACACGCGCAGAGACAACACACUCAGAUUCAGCCCACUCGCAGAGACACAAACACACUCAGAUUCAGCCCACUCGCAGAGACACAAACACACUCAGAUUCAGCCCACUCACACAGAGACAAACACACUCAGAUUCAGCCCACUCGCAGAGACAAACACACACAGAUUCAGCCCACUCGCAGAGACAAACACACUCAGGAUUUCAGCCCACUCGCAGAGACAACAACACACUACUCGCAGAGACACAAACACACUCAGAUUCAGCCCACUCGCAGAGACACAAACACACUCAGAUUCAGCCCACUCGCAGAGACACAAACACACUCAGAUUCAGCCCACUCGCAGAGACACAAACACACUCAGAUUCAGCCCACUCGCAGAGACACAAACACACUCAGAUUCAGCCCACUCGCAGAGACAAACACACUCAGAUUCAGCACACGAGCAGAGAGACGAACACAGUUUCGGCACACACAUGCACUGACGAUCUAAGGCGGGACACUUACCACGAUCCAUUCAGCGAUGUUCUCGUACAGCUCCGGGUUGAAAAUGGCCUUCUUCAGGCGAGCCAGAGGACCAUCUGCGUCCACCAGACGACACUUCAUGAAGACAUCGCAGUAGCCCUUGAAGUCGUUGCACGGCGAGCCGGCCUGAAGAGUGGUGACUUUCUUAUUGAAGAAGCGAGCAAGACGUUCGGAGCCCGUACUGCUGCAAGUGCUGGGGUUCACUGCAGAACACACACACACGAGAGAGAGUGA
rnacentral:lncRNA from 1 species